rnacentral:rRNA from 1 species
UUUCCGGUUGAUCCUGCCGGACCCUACUGCUAUCGGGGUGGGACUAAGACAUGCGUGUCGAACGACCCCAAGCCAACAUGAGGUCGUGGCAUACGGCUCAGUAACACGUGGCUAACCUACCCUCGAGACGGGGACAACCCCGGGAAACUGGGGCUAAUCCCUGAUAGAUGAGAACCCCUGGAAUGGGUUUUCGUCCAAAAGGCACCGCGGUUAUGCUCCGUGGUGCUGCUCAAGGAUGGGGCCGCGCCCGAUCAGGCUGUUGGUGAGGCAAUGGCUCACCAAACCUAUAACCGGUACGGGCCGUGGGAGCGGGAGCCCGGAGAUGGGAACUGAGACAAGGUCCCAGGCCCUACGGGGCGCAGCAGUUACGAAAACUUGUCAAUGCACGAAAGUGUGAACGGGCUACCCCGAGUGCCGUCCGCUGAGGAUGGCUUUUCUCUGCUGUAAGAAGGCGGAGGAAUAAGGCGAGGGCAAGUCUGGUGUCAGCCGCCGCGGUAAUACCAGCUCGCCGAGUGGUAGGGAUGAUUAUUGGGCCUGAAGCGUCCGUAGCCGGCCUUUCAAGUCUCUUGUCAAAUCCAACGAUUCAAUCGCUGGACUGCAGGAGAUACUGUCAGGCUAGGGGGCGGGAGAAGCCGACGGUAUUUUCGGGGUAGGGGUAAAAUCCUAUAAUCCCGGGAAGACCACCAGUGGCGUAGGCGGUCGGCUAGCACGCGCUCGACGGUGAGGGACGAAAGCUGGGGGAGCGAACCGGAUUAGAUACCCGGGUAGUCUCAGCUGUAAACGAUGCUGGCUAGGUGUUGAAGCGGCUACGAGCCGCUUCAGUGCCGCAGGGAAGCCAUUAAGCCAGCCGCCUGGGGAGUACGGCCGCAAGGCUGAAACUUAAAGGAAUUGGCGGGGGAGCACCACAAGGGGUGAAGCUUGCGGUUUAAUUGGAUUCAACGCCGGG